GGCUGAUUUCGUGGGGAGCAAGGGGGGAGGAGAUUUCCGCGAAAACUUGACCAAUCUUCGUGCAGUUCGUCCCUACUUCUAGGUAUCGAGGUUCGCAAUUUUCAUGCCCAACUUCUACUCACGAAGGCGAUGGAGAUCCUUCCGCCGAGGCAUAGCUACUCGAGUUGGAGAUCGAGUUGUAAGCGGUGGAGUAGAGGUAUGAGAAGCAGCUUUGCUUCUCUUCUUGUGGAUUAUGUUGGAGUCUCUUUUACUUUAUGAGAACUCUGUUAUUAAAGUCUUGCUUCCGCCACUGUUAAAGUGCGCAUGUUUAUUCUGAACCUUACUUAUGGUAUUGUAAACUAUUAUUACUGUAUAUCGGGAAACAAGUUAUCUAA